CUGCAGUUGACUCUAUGAAGGGGAAGCACCCAGAGCUAGGAGGGCACAUUCCAAGGAGAAAUGGAAGCUUCUCCCAGGACUAAGAGACUCAGGUCUCGGCUCCUGGGAUGAAGGGGAGCAGGCAGGAGGCAGGGAACGGGCGGGCCCAGCAGAGGGAACAGCACAGGCAAAAAGGCUCAGCCGUGGGACUUCGCUCCGCCCGUCUGGGGAUCCGAAAGGCACCCCGUGUGGCGGCUGCAGACUGUGCCUACACUGUGCUUACCUCGCUCGCCCAAGUGGAGUACUCUGCCAGGCUCGGGAAUCACCCACCGGAAUGUCAACCCAGGAGAGGAAACCAAACCUGCUAUUGCCAACCCCUUUACGCUUCACUCCGCCCACGUCCGUGAAGAGCUCCUUCCCUGGACCAUGCAAGGGAAACACGAUCUCCUGUUGGACCUGGAAUAACACACCCUCUUUAUGUGAUAGAUGCAGACACUGACUCACAGAAAGAUUCUGUAAACUGCCUGAAGUUGCACCACUGGUGAACCGGCUUGAACCCAGGCUGUCUGGAUCUAGAAUCCACACUCUAAACCAGGGGUCAGCAAACUACAGCCCUCGGGCCAAAUCUGGCCCACUGCUUGUUUUUGUCGAUAAAGUUUCAUCGACACAAAGCCAGCCAGGCCCAUUCAUUUACAUACUGUCUGUGACUAUUUUCUUGCUAUGCUGGUAAAAUGGAGAAGUUGUAACCAAAACACAGUGUGGCCCACAAAUCCAGAAAUAUUUACAUUUGGCCCUUUACCGGAAAAUUU
rnacentral:lncRNA from 1 species